AGUGAACGCUGGCGGCAGGCCUAAUACAUGCAAGUCGAGCGGACGCAUAGUAAGCUCUCGCCUCUAAGGGUGGCGAGUGGCGGACGGGUGAGGCAUGCAUCGGAAUCUAAUAUUUCGUGGGGGAUUUCGUAGGGCCACUUCCGCUACUGCCGAAUACGUUCUACGGGUGGAAGCAGUGGUUAUUCGGACCUUGCGCGACUGAAUGAGCCGAUGUCGGAUUAGCUAGUUGGCGGGGUAAAGGCACACCAAGGCAACGAUCCGUAGCUGGUCUGAGAGGAUGAUCAGCCACACUGGAACUGAGACACGGUCCAGACUCCUACGGGAGGCAGCAGUAGGGAAUAUUGGGCAAUGGGCGCAAGCCUGAUCCAGCCAUGCCGCGUGAGUGAAGAAGGUCUUCGGAUUGUAAAACCCUGUUGUUAGGAAAGAAAAACAGCAUAUGAAUAUCCCGCUGUUCUGACGGUACCCAAAGAGUAAGCACCGGCUAACUACGUG
rnacentral:rRNA from 1 species